GACGAACGCUGGCGGCGUGCCUAAUACAUGCAAGUCGAAGCUAGUUGCGAACGGGUGAGUACCGCGUAGGAACCUGCCUCAUAGCGGGGGAUAACUAUUGGAAACGAUAGCUAAUACCGCAUACUGUGAGAUGGAACUGCGUUGUAUUAGCUAGUUGGUGAGGUAAAGGCUCACCAAGGCGACGAUCCGUAGCCGGUUUGAGAGGACGACCAGCCAAACUGGGACUGAGAAACGGCCCAGACUCCUACGGGCGGCAGCAGUGGGGAAUUUUGGACAAUGGGGGAAACCCUGAUCCAGCCAUCCCGCGUGUGCGAUGAAGGCCUUUGGGUUGUAAAGCACUUUUGGCAGGAAAGCGGUACCUGCAGAAGAAGCACCGGCUAACUACGUGCCAGCAGCCGCGGUAAUUC
rnacentral:rRNA from 1 species